rnacentral:rRNA from 1 species
AAACUUUCCUUCGGGAAAGAUAUAAAGUGGCGCACGGGUGAGUAACACGUAAGUAAUCUACCUUCGAGUGGGGAAUAACGUCCGGAAACGGACGCUAAUACCGCAUAAUGCAGCGGCACCUAAUGGUGACAGUUGUUAAAGGAGCAAUCCGCUUGAAGAGGAGCUUGCGGCAGAUUAGCUAGUUGGUAAGGUAACGGCUUACCAAGGCUACGAUCUGUAACCGGUCUAAGAGGACGGUCGGUCACACUGACACUGAAUAACGGGUCAGACUCCUACGGGAGGCAGCAGUCGGGAAUUUUGGGCAAUGGGCGAAAGCCUGACCCAGCAACGCCGCGUGAAGGAUGAAGUAUUUCGGUAUGUAAACUUCGAAAGAAUGGGAAGAAUCAAUGACGGUACCAUUUAUAAGGUCCGGCUAACUACGUGCCAGCAGCCGCGGUAAUACGUAGGGACCAAGCGUUGUUCGGAUUUACUGGGCGUAAAGGGCGCGUAGGCGGCAAUUCAAGUCAUCUGUGAAAUCUCCGGGCUUAACUCGGAACGGUCAGAUGAUACUGCUUUGCUAGAGUGCGGAAGGGGCAAUCGGAAUUCUUGGUGUAGCGGUGAAAUGCGUAGAUAUCAAGAGGAACACCUGAGGUGAAGACGGGUUGCUGGGCCGACACUGACGCUGAGGCGCGAAAGCCAGGGGAGCAAACGGGAUUAGAUACCCCGGUAGUCCUGGCCCUAAACGAUGAAUACUUGGUGUCUGGAGUUAUUAGUGCUCCGGGUGCCGUCGCUAACGUUUUUAGUAUUCCGCCUGGGGAGUACGCUCGCAAGAGUGAAACUC